rnacentral:rRNA from 1 species
GCCAUCAGAUGUGCCCAGAUGGGAUUAGCUAGUAGGUGGGGUAAUGGCUCACCUAGGCGACGAUCCCUAGCUGGUCUGAGAGGAUGACCAGCCACACUGGAACUGAGACACGGUCCAGACUCCUACGGGAGGCAGCAGUGGGGAAUAUUGCACAAUGGGCGCAAGCCUGAUGCAGCCAUGCCGCGUGUGUGAAGAAGGCCUUCGGGUUGUAAAGCACUUUCAGCGAGGAGGAAGGUGGUGAAUUGACGUUACUCGCAGAAGAAGCACCGGCUAACUCCGUGCCAGCAGCCGCGGUAAUACGGAGGGUGCAAGCGUUAAUCGGAAUUACUGGGCGUAAAGCGCACGCAGGCGGUUUGUUAAGUCAGAUGUGAAAUCCCCGGGCUCAACCUGGGAACUGCAUUUGAAACUGGCAAGCUAGAGUCUCGUAGAGGGGGGUAGAAUUCAUGUAGCGGUGAAAUGCGUAGAGAU